rnacentral:lncRNA from 10 species
UCAGAUGAAAUAAUUAUGUGAAACACACAAUCCAGGCCGGGCGCAGUUUGCUUCUAUCUUGACUUAUGGAAAACUUUUAGACUCCAAGCUCUUGGUAUAAAGUCUACUUGAUAUCAAUUCUGGGCUCUGCGGUCAUAAUAACACCCAUCUUUAUUUACAGUGCCCUUUUUUAGUAACACUGAGGAUUUGCUACAAAAAAAAAUAAACUGAAGUGCCUUACUAAAAAAGGUAUUACGUUAGUUCAGAUGUGUUCUGCUGCAAAGCAUCAGAAAACCUAACUGAAGCUAGCUUAACUCAGAUGAGGUGGGGUCAUCUGAGACCUCAGGCCCUCCCCUGAGCUGAAGAUCAGGACGGCUGCUCCUGAGGCCUACCGCACAGGGCUCUGUUGCCAAGGAAGAGGAGCGCAAUGUUUAGUGGAUAGGCAACCAACAAGGCCACUGCAGACACCUAACAGCACAUCUCUCCAUUCAAGCAGUGGCUCCCAUCCGUCCUUGAUGUUGUCUCUCUUUCUGAGUCAUUCGCUCCUACUAGGCUGAAAUGUGACCAAGUUCUGACCUAUGCUCGUAGAGAGCAACCUACUUCUAUAGAGUGAAGGAAGGGAAGUCAUUACUGAAAUGUGCUCAAAGCUGACCGAGGCCACUCAGUCGCACUGGUAAUGGCCCACCACUUCAAUGACUACACCUCCUCUCCUUCAUCAGUGCCUCAAUUCAGCCCACCACUUCAAUGACUACACCUCCUCUCCUUCAUUAGUGCCUCGAUUCAGCCCACCCCUUCAGUGACUAUACCUCCUCUCCUUCAUUAGUGCCUCGAUUCAGCCCACCCCUUCAAUGACUAUACCUUCUCUCCUUCAUCAGUGCCUUGAUUCAGCCCACCCCUUCAAUGCCUAUACCUUCUCUCCUCUCAUCAGUGCCUUGACUCAGCCCACCCCUUCAAUGACUAUACCUUCUCUCCUCUCAUCAGUGCCUUGAUUCAGCCCACCCCUUCAAUGACUAUACCUUCUCUCCUCUCAUCAGUGCCUCGAUUCAGCCCACCCCUUCAAUGACUAUACCUUCUCUCCUCUCAUCAGUGCCUUGAUUCAGCCCACCCCUUCAAUGACUAUACCUUCUCUCUCAUCAGUGCCUCGAUUCUGCUUUCCCACUGUGAGGGUUUUCAUUCCAUGCUAGAGACCUUAAAAUAACCUGGGGAGAUGGCAAAUAAGCACAUGAAAAGAUGCUCCAUGUCUCACGUCAUUAGGAAAUUGCAAAUUAAAACAACAGUAAGAUACUACUACACAUUUACUAGCAUGGCUAAAAUCCACAACACUGACAACACCAAAUGCUGACAAGGAUGUGGAGCAGCAGGAACUCUCAUUCACUGCCUAUGGAAAUGAAAAAUGGUGUAGCCACUUUAGAACACAAUGUAGUGGUUUCCUACACAGCUAAACACAGUCUUACCAUAUAUCCAGCAAUCACGUCCCCUGAAAACUUAUGUCCACACACAAACCUACCC